AGUCCCCUAGCUCAGAGGCAGAGCAGCGCUUUCACACGGCGAAGGUCGAGAUUUCGAAACUCUCGGGGACUACCA
rnacentral:tRNA from 1 species